UAAUACCAGCAGUUCAAGUCGCAGCCAUAUUUAUUGGGUCUAAAACAUCCGUAGCUUGCUAUGUAAGUCUCUUGUGAAAUUCCUUCUCUCAAAGAAGGAGCGUGCAGGAGAUACUGCAUAGCUAGAGACCGGAAGGCGUAAGGAGUACAUAGUGGGUAUCGGUAAAAUGAGUUGAUCCUCUAUGGACUAACGAUAGCGAAGGCACCUUACGAGUACGGUUCUGACAGUCAGGGAUGAAGGCUAGGGUCGCGAAAGGGAUUAGAUACCCCUGUAGUCCUAGCAGUAAACACUGCACACUAAACAUCGGUAUCUCCUCGAGAGGCAUCGGUGCUGUAGGGAAGCCGUAGAGUGUGCUACCUGGGAAGUAUAGUCGCAAGGCCG
rnacentral:rRNA from 1 species